UACAGGGGGUGCAAACGUUGCUCGGAAUCAUUGGGCGUAAAGCGCACGUAGGCGGUCUGUUAUGUCGGAUGUGAAAGCCCUUGGCUUAACUGAGGAAGUGCAUCCGAAACUGGCAGGCUAGAGUACUAAAGAGGGUCGCGGAAUUCCAGGUGUAGCGGUGAAAUGCGUAGAUAUCUGGAGGAACACCGGUGGCGAAGGCGGCAUCCUGGACCGAGAUUGACGCUGAGGCGCGAAAGCCAGGGGAGCAAACGGG
rnacentral:rRNA from 1 species